GAAAUGCGAUACUUGGUGUGAAUUGCAGAAUCCCGUGAACCAUCGAGUCUUUGAACGCAAGUUGCGCCCGAAGCCGUUAGGCUGAGGGCACGUUUGCCUGGGCGUCGUAU
rnacentral:rRNA from 1 species